rnacentral:sRNA from 1 species
UUGGAANGUUAAAGUCGUAACAAGGUUUCCGUAGGUGAACCUGCGGAAGGAUCAUUACAGAAUGAAAAGUGCUUAACUGCAUUUUUUCUUACACAUGUGUUUUUCUUUUUUUGAAAACUUUGCUUUGGUAGGCCUUCUAUAUGGGGCCUGCCAGAGAUUAAACUCAACCAAAUUUUAUUUAAUGUCAACCGAUUAUUUAAUAGUCAAAACUUUCAACAACGGAUCUCUUGGUUCUCGCAUCGAUGAAGAACGCAGCGAAAUGCGAUAAGUAAUAUGAAUUGCAGAUAUUCGUGAAUCAUCGAAUCUUUGAACGCACAUUGCGCCCUUUGGUAUUCCAAAGGGCAUGCCUGUUUGAGCGUCAUUUCUCCCUCAAACCCUCGGGUUUGGUGUUGAGCGAUACGCUGGGUUUGCUUGAAAGAAAGGCGGAGUAUAAACUAAUGGAUAGGUUUUUUCCACUCAUUGGUACAAACUCCAAAACUUCUUCCAAAUUCGACCUCAAAUCAGGUAGGACUACCCGCUGAACUUAAGCAUAUCAAUAGNCGGGNNGGAA